rnacentral:lncRNA from 1 species
ACGCCUUUAAUCCCAGCACUUGGGAGGAGACCAGCCUGGUCUACAAGAGCGAGUACCAGGACAGCCUCCAAAGCCACAGAGAAACCCUGUCUCGAAAAACCAAAAAAAAGAAAAAAGAAAAAAGAAGAAGAAGAAGAAGAAGAAGAAGAAGAAGAAGAAGAAGAAGAAGAAGAAGAAGAAGAAGAAGAAGCAGAAGCAGGAGCAGCAGGAGCAGCAGGGUGGAGAUGCAGAAACCAUCCUUAGCUGAGAAUACGAGCAGGAGCAGCAGGAGCAGGAGCAGCAGGGUGGAGAUGCAGAAACCAUCCUUAGCUGAGAAUACCUGUUUCCUGUUACCGUGAUGAGUUCAGUUUGAGAUACACUGCACUGUUGAUUAUCUGAAUGGCCAGCACGCAUGCAGGAAGUGAAGAAAAGGAAAGUGGAAAACAACUUGGCCAUUCCUUUAAGAUGCGGACACAAAACCACUGUAAGCAUCAGUUGUUGUACAUGCAGGGAUUGACUGGGAGGGAAGCCAAGUGUGGCGGUACACUUGGUGUGAGUGUUCAUCUUAGCUUUGUGAAGAGGCGGACAUGACCGAUGCCCUUCGACAGCCAGCUGGGUUCACAACUGUGAGAAGAGCAAGCCUGAGUCCCUUGGCGUUAAGAAGAAUCAACAUGGCAACAUGGGUGGGUCUUGGAAUACUCUGCCCUGCUGAGUGAAAGCAGACUUUGAAAGUGAACUUGCAUGGGGCCUCAUUUACUUAAAAGUUAGAAGUCUGUGCCACUUUAGUGACACAAAGCAGAUCAGGAAUCCCAGGGAGCUGGUAGACGCGUGCUUGCUCCAGACUUUGGUAUUGCUUCACCAGGGGUUGCAGAUGUACUUGUCAAGGUCCAUCAAAUUGUGCAUGAGGGCUGGGUGAUAAAAACACCUU